rnacentral:misc_RNA from 1 species
AAGUCGUAACAAGGUUUCCGUAGGUGAACCUGCGGAAGGAUCAUUAAUGGGAGAUUGUACACUCUUUAUUCAUGAUGAUGAGAGAGAUGUGCAAGCGCCAUCCUUGUGUUAUGUGUAUUGUUAACUUGUGCGUAACUGGUGUUGCGCACUUGUUUUUUUCUCACUUUCUAUUACAUUUCUUAUUUGUAUAAUUUAACACCGAAAACUGCCAGCAAUGGAUCACUCGGUUCUC